AGUGAACGCUGGCGGCAGGCCUAACACAUGCAAGUCGAACGGCAGCACAGGAGAGCUUGCUCUCCGGGUGGCGAGUGGCGGACGGGUGAGGAAUACAUCGGAAUCUGCCCAGUCGUGGGGGAUAACCUCGGGAAACCGGGACUAAUACCGCAUACGACCUACGGGUGAAAGCAGGGGACCUUCGGGCCUUGCGCGAUUGGAUGAGCCGAUGUCGGAGUAGCUAGUUGGAGGGGUAAUGGCCCACCAAGGCGACGAUCCGUAGCUGGGCUGAGAGGAUGAUCAGCCACACUGGGACUGAGACACGGCCCAGACUCCUACGGGAGGCAGCAGUGGGGAAUAUUGGACAAUGGGCGCAAGCCUGAUCCAGCCAUGCCGCGUGAGUGAAGAAGGCCCUCGGGUUGUAAAGCUCUUUUGUUGGGAAAGAAAAGCAAUCGGUUAAUACCCGGUUGUUCUGACGGUACCCAAAGAAUAAGCACCGGCUAACUUCGUGCCAGCAGCCGCGGUAACAC
rnacentral:rRNA from 1 species